rnacentral:rRNA from 1 species
CGGAGGAUCCAAGCGUUAUCCGGAAUCAUUGGGUUUAAAGGGUCCGUAGGCGGUUUAGUAAGUCAGUGGUGAAAGCCCAUCGCUCAACGGUGGAUCGGCCAUUGAUACUGCUAGACUUGAAUUAUUAGGAAGUAACUAGAAUAUGUAGUGUAGCGGUGAAAUGCUUAGAGAUUACAUGGAAUACCAAUUGCGAAGGCAGGUUACUACUAGUUGAUUGACGCUGAUGGACGAAAGCGUGGGUAGCGAACAGGAUUAGAUACCCUGGUAGUCCACGCCGUAAACGAUGGAUACUAGCUGUUGGGGGCAACUUCAGUGGCUAAGCGAAAGUGAUAAGUAUCCCACCUGGGGAGUACGGGCGCAAGCCUG